rnacentral:rRNA from 1 species
GAUAAAAGGUACUCCGGGGAUAACAGGCUGAUACCGCCCAAGAGUUCAUAUCGACGGCGGUGUUUGGCACCUCGAUGUCGGCUCAUCACAUCCUGGGGCUGAAGUAGGUCCCAAGGGUAUGGCUGUUCGCCAUUUAAAGUGGUACGCGAGCUGGGUUUAGAACGUCGUGAGACAGUUCGGUCCCUAUCUGCCGUGGGCGCUGGAGAACUGAGGGGGGCUGCUCCUAGUACGAGAGGACCGGAGUGGACGCAUCACUGGUGUUCGGGUUGUCAUGCCAAUGGCACUGCCCGGUAGCUAAAUGCGGAAGAGAUAAGUGCUGAAAGCAUCUAAGCACGAAACUUGCCCCGAGAUGAGUUCUCCCUGACCCUUUAAGGGUCCUGAAGGAACGUUGAAGACGACGACGUUGAUAGGCCGGGUGUGUAAGCGCAGCGAUGCGUUGAGCUAACCGGUACUAAUGAACCGUGAGGCUUAACCUUACAACGCCGAAG